rnacentral:tRNA from 1 species
GAGGGCAUAGAUCAGUGGUAGAGUGUGUGCUUAGCAUGCACAAGGUCCUGGGUUCAAUCCCCAGUGCUGCCA